UACGUAGGUGGCAAGCGUUGUCCGGAAUUAUUGGGCGUAAAGCGCGCGCAGGCGGUCCUUUAAGUCUGAUGUGAAAGCCCACGGCUCAACCGUGGAGGGUCAUUGGAAACUAGGUAGCUUGAAGAUGGGAGAGGUAAGUGGAAUUCCGAGUGUAGAGGUGAAAUUCGUAGAUAUUCGGAAGAACACCAGUGGCGAAGGCGGCUUACUGGACCAUUCUUGACGCUGAGGUGCGAAAGCGUGGGGAGCAAACAGG
rnacentral:misc_RNA from 1 species